GCUUAGAGAGGGGUCAAUGUCCUAUCAGCUAGUUGGUAGGGUAAUGGCCUACCAAGGCUAAGACGGGUAGCCGGCCUGAGAGGGUGGUCGGCCACACUGGGACUGAGACACUGCCCAGACUCCUACGGGAGGCUGCAGUCGAGAAUCUUUCGCAAUGCCCGAAAGGGUGACGAAGCGGCGCCGCGUGUGGGAAGAAGGCCUUCGGGUUGUAAACCACUGUCGGGAGUUAAGAAAUGCAAGGGUGUUAAUAGCAUCCUUGCUUGACUAAGGCUCCGGAGGAAGCCACGGCUAACUCUGUGCCAGCAGCCGCGGUAAUACAGAGGCGGCAAGCGUUGUUCGGAAUUAUUGGGCGUAAAGAGCACGUAGGCGGCUUUGUAAGUCAGUUGUGAAAGCCUUCUGCUCAACGGAAGAACAGCAUCUGAUACUGCAAGGCUAGAGUGCGGAAGGG
rnacentral:rRNA from 1 species